CAGUGGGUAGAGGGUGCAGGGUCCACUCUAGGUUAGGGCUGCUUCAGCUGUCCAGCUGGCACAAGGGGCUAGUGUUCCCAGAUACCAACUAGCUCGCCCUUAGCAGCUCCUGAGGGCAAAGUACUCUGAGCUUCUUGC